AUGUUGCCCGGCAGUGCCGCCAUGCAGUACGCGCAUCGCAGCCAUGCGGUUUGCUGGCGACUCUGGACGGGAGAUGUUGCGUACGUGCGAGGUUCAGAAGGCCCUGGCGUGCAGCUCGGAUGGGCUGCGUGCGCGGUUCAGAUGGGCCAGAAGCGUCGUGCCGUCGGUCGCCCCUACCUACCCCAGCAUGAGCCCGGCGGCCUUCCUCCACCGCUGGGUCGUCGGGUCUGGUGCGGCCUACCCACCGUCGAGGAGCCCCCCGCCCAUUCCUCCGCGCGAGCCCCAUGA
rnacentral:rRNA from 1 species